CCUACGGGAGGCAGCAGUGGGGGAUAUUGCACAAUGGGGGAAACCCUGAUGCAGCGACGCCGCGUGAGUGAAGAAGUAUUUCGGUAUGUAAAGCACUAUCAGCAGGGAAGAAAAUGACAGUACCUGACCACGAAGCCCCUGCGAACUACGUGCCAGCAGCCGCGGUAAUACGUAGGGGGCGAGCGUUAUCCGGAUUUACUGGGUGGAAAGGGAGCGUAGACGGGUAUGUAAGUCUGGAGUGAAAGCCCGGGGCGCAACCUCGGGACUGCUUUGGAUACUGUGUAGCUGGAGUACAGGAGGGGCAGGCGGAAUUCCUGGUGUAGCGGUGAAAUGCGUAGAGAUCAGGAGGAAAACCGGCGGCGAAGGCGGCCUGCUGGACUGAAACUGACGUUGAGGCUCGAAAGCGUGGGGAGCAAACAGGAUUAGAUACCCGAGUAGUC
rnacentral:rRNA from 1 species